CUUGACACCAUUUAGGGAAUACUAUGUUGGAAAUGUGCAGCUGUUCAGAUCCCCACCAGCACCACCCCUUGAGAUGAGAGGACCGGAGGAACAGGAAAGAAGUCGUCAACCCUACCGUCUCUAAAUGAACCAGGGAGGCUUCAUGCAAACGGACUUGGCAUGGCACGUGGUGGCAGUAAAUACAAGGACGAAAGUGUCAGCUGGCAGAUUAGUUUUCUGGUCAGAGGGGAAACACAACUGUGUAAUGCGAGGGAUCAGACUGGUCAUCUGACUGCACUGAUCAACCUUGGCCUCACUAUCUCCUGGGCGAUGAGAUGCUACAUGCACCUGAGUUGAUGCAGCAUGAAGCACACGGCAUCACCUAUGAAUUAUUUUUACCAAAAAGGUUUAACUCUAAUCUAACCAACGUUUUAGGUCUAACUACCAGCCUGCAGGAAAUGAGGGAGAAGGGAAAUGACAUCACAAGGAAACCAUCAGACAAAUCUGGAAGGUGGGACAUUCCACAGGACAUACUGACUUUCUUCGAGUCAACGGCAUUUAAAAAAAGAAAGGUGUGUUGGAGACUCUUCUAGAUUACGAGAGACUUAUGAAGAAUAAAACCAAAUGCAAUGUGUAGACUUUGUUGGACCAUGAUUUGAACACACCAGCUGUAAAAAGACAUAUUGGGGAAAUGUUAAUAUAGGUUAAGUAUCAGAUUAUAUUAAGAAGUUGUUGAUUUUGUUAGGUGUGAUAAUGCUCUCUCUCUGACACACAGACAGGACUCAGUGACACACUCAGGCCCAGUGAGACUGAGGCAGCAGACCCGGGUGUCCGCAAGACCAAGAGCAGUCAUAACCUCCCGGGAUUUAUCUCAGCAGUGAGGACAAAACCUCUUCUAGAGGGAUAUUUCCACGUAAGAAGUGGCUGCUGAGGGUCUGAUGUCCAAAAAUUAUGGGUGGCAGGCCUGGAAUUCAUAAAAAUUUGACAUAAUAAAAUCAACCAGAAACUGGACAGCUGGAUCGCCACAGUUUGGAUGGCC
rnacentral:lncRNA from 1 species